ACUCAACUGAUGAGUCCCAAAUAGGACGAAAUGCGCGUCCUGGAU
rnacentral:hammerhead_ribozyme from 1 species